rnacentral:rRNA from 1 species
GACAGAGGUGCCGAGCGUUAGGCGGAAUCACUGGGCUUAAAGCGUGUGUAGGCGGACCUGUAAGUGCCUUGUGAAAUCCCACGGCUCAACCGUGGAACUGCUGGGCAUACGGCGGGUCUUGAGCCACUUAGGGGCCGUCGGAACAGACGGUGGAGCGGUGAAAUGCGUAGAUAUCGGCUGGAACGCCAACGGUGAAAACAGACAGCUGGGAGUGUGCUGACGCUGAGACACGAAAGCCAGGGGAGCAAACGGG